rnacentral:rRNA from 1 species
UACAGAGGUCCCAAGCGUUGUUCGGAUUCACUGGGCGUAAAGGGUGCGUAGGCGGUCGGGUCAGUCUGAUGUGAAAUCUCACAGCUUAACUGUGAAACUGCAUUGGAUACUAUCCGGCUCGAGGAAUGGAGGGGAGACUGGAAUACUUGGUGUAGCAGUGAAAUGCGUAGAUAUCAAGUGGAACACCAGUGGCGAAGGCGAGUCUCUGGACAUUUCCUGACGCUGAGGCACGAAAGCCAGGGGAGCAAACGGG